rnacentral:rRNA from 1 species
UAUUGUAUAAUCGAGGUACUGUGGCUGUCGCUGACCUUUGAAAAGGUUGUGCACGCCUCAGUGCACUCAUAUCCAUCUUACACCUUUUGUGCAUCACCGCGUAGACCCUCUAUUUGGCUUGUUCCAAAGAGGGUUUGCGUUUUUAACACACAUACACAUASCAUGUAUAGAAUGUCUUGACUAAUUUGUGAUAAUACACAAUUAAUACAACUUUCAACAACGGAUCUCUUGGCUCUCGCAUCGAUGAAGAACGCAGCGAAAUGCGAUACGUAAUGUGAAUUGCANAAUUCANUGAAUCAUCGAAUCUNUGAACGCAUCUUGUGCCCCUUGGUAUUCUGAGGGGCACACCCGUUUGAGUGUCGUGAUAUCCUCAACCUUACUUGGUUUUUUUUGACUAAAGAAAGGCUUGGACUUUGGGGGUUUUCUUUGCCGGUCUCCUUAGAAGCCGGCUCCUCCUAAAUGAAUUAGUGGGGUUUGCUUUGCCAAUCCUUGAUGUGAUAAAAUGUUUUUACAUCUUGGGUUUUGCACUGUUACUUUUGGAUCCUGCUUCUAAUUGUCUUGUAAAAGAUAAUAUUCAUAAACCUUGACCUCAAAUCGGGUGAGACUACCCGCUGAACUUAA